AUGCAACCAUCUGGCGUGUUUGUAGGAUGAAUAAAGCGGACACAAGACAACAACAAACUUUGUCUAGUUAAAGAGAACAAAUAUACAAGUAUAGGAACAAGUCAAAGCUGCUUACCCGACCAGCAGAUCCCUGACCAAGAUGAUUGUGAACAAAUUGAUCUUACUAAUGUUGUUGUUAUGCACAAUUUCGGGGGAAAUGUCUUUUCUAAGGCAGUAUAAUAGAAAAACGUGCCAGUCGCCAGGGCAAGAUUGCUCGCGUUAUCCUUGCUGCAAAAGUGAUAAAACAAAAUGCAGUUGGAUUGGAAAUUACCUAAGAUGUCGCAAAAUUUAAUUAUCUCCUACUAACUUUGCUUAAAAAAAUUGCAGUGUCAGUGUCUAAUGUUUCAACGUAGGUAGACUGCUUGCACCACGAUGCUUGUUUUCUAUUUACAUAACUAUAUCAGAUAAAUACAAUUAAAAGUAUAUGGAAAUUCGGUGUAUCAUGGAAAUUAAUUUCAUUUUAACAUAUUAAAGUAAU